GGAUUUGUGGUUCAGUAGUAGAGCACUUGCCUUGAAUGUAUGAGGCACUGGGUUCGAUUUUCAGCACCA
rnacentral:tRNA from 1 species